rnacentral:sRNA from 1 species
AGAUGAAAACUCUCCUCCUGAAAGGACCUUUGCUGAGUGCUGGGGGAGGCGGGGCGCGGGGAAGAACGGAGACCGCCCAGGAGGCUGCGGCACUCCUGGGCUAAAGGUGAGUGCCGGGCUCGGCGCUCUGCUCCUGGAGCUCCCGCGGGACUGCCUGGGGACAGGGACUGCUGUGGCGCUCGGCCCUCCACUGCGGACCUCUCCUGAGUGGGUGCGCCGAGUCAUGGAGGGCGCAGAGCUGGCCGGGAAGAUCCUUUCCACCUGGCUGACGCUGGUUCUCGGCUUCAUCCUUUUACCUUCGGUCUUCGGAGUGUCUCUGGGCAUCUCCGAGAUCUACAUGAAGAUCCUAGUGAAAACUUUAGAGUGGGCCACAAUACGAAUUGAAAAAGGAACCCCAAAGGAGUCGAUUCUUAAAAACUCUGCUUCUAUUGGUGAGUUUUCC